AAAACUCAAAUGAAUUGACGGGGGCCCGCACAAGCGGUGGAGCAUGUGGUUUAAUUCGAUGCAACGCGAAGAACCUUACCUGGUCUUGACAUCCACGGAAGUUUUCAGAGAUGAGAAUGUGCCUUCGGGAACCGUGAGACAGGUGCUGCAUGGCUGUCGUCAGCUCGUGUUGUGAAAUGUUGGGUUAAGUCCCGCAACGAGCGCAACCCUUAUCCUUUGUUGCCAGCGGUCCGGCCGGGAACUCAAAGGAGACUGCCAGUGAUAAACUGGAGGAAGGUGGGGAUGACGUCAAGUCAUCAUGGCCCUUACGACCAGGGCUACACACGUGCUACAAUGGCGCAUACAAAGAGAAGCGACCUCGCGAGAGCAAGCGGACCUCAUAAAGUGCGUCGUAGUCCGGAUUGGAGUCUGCAACUCGACUCCAUGAAGUCGGAAUCGCUAGUAAUCGUGGAUCAGAAUGCCACGGUGAAUACGUUCCCGGGCCUUGUACACACCGCCCGUCACACCAUGGGAGUGGGUUGCAAAAGAAGUAGGUAGCUUAACCUUCGGGAGGGCGCUUACCACUUUGUGAUUCAUGACUGGGGUGAAGUCGUAACAAGGUAACCGUAGGGGAACCUGCGGUUGGAUCACCUCCUUACCUUAAAGAAGC
rnacentral:rRNA from 1 species